CAGGAUAAAUCCACAUACAAUCUUUAUGCAAAUGUUUACGUGUAUCUGCAUACUUUCUAUGCGGAACAAAAUCCGCAUAGAAUUACUACAAUUAUUUUUGCGGUAGUCUGCAUAUUAUUUACCACGCGGACAUAAACUCGUGUAUAUUUUUAGGGACUUGGCAUAUGCCCUCACAUUAUGUUCUAUGCCUCCCAUAUAGAAACUUUACGCACGCGUC
rnacentral:lncRNA from 1 species